GCUGCCAGUGCUGCAACUGCUUAGCAGGUGCGGCUGUUAGGCAUGGUCAGCACACCGCAAGGUUGGUGGUUCAAAUCCACCUGGUAGCG